AGCAUAUCAAUAAGCGGAGGAAAAGAAACCAACAGGGAUUGCCUCAGUAACGGCGAGUGAAGCGGCAACAGCUCAAAUUUGAAAUCUGGCCUCUUUCGGGGUCCGAGUUGUAAUUUGUAGAGGCAGUUUCGGGUUCGGCCACGGUUUAAGUUCCUUGGAACAGGACGUCAUGGAGGGUGAGAAUCCCGUGUGAGACCGCCGGCUUCGCCCAUGUGAAACGCCUUCGACGAGUCGAGUUGUUUGGGAAUGCAGCUCUAAAUGGGUGGUAAAUUUCAUCUAAAGCUAAAUACCGGCCAGAGACCGAUAGCGCACAAGUAGAGUGAUCGAAAGAUGAAAAGCACUUUGGAAAGAGAGUUAAAAAGCAUGUGAAAUUGUUGAAAGGGAAGCGCAGGCAACCAGACUUGGUCUUGGGUGUUCACCCGGUGUUCUUCACCGGGGCAUUCGCCCUUGUUCAGGCCAGCAUCGGUUCGGGCGGUUGGAUAAAGGCUCCUGGAAUGUGGCUCUUCUUCGGAGGAGUGUUAUAGCCAGGAGUGUCAUACAACCCGUCUGGACCGAGGAACGCGCUUCGGCACGGAUGCUGGCGUAAUGGUUGUCUGCGGCCCGUCUUGAA
rnacentral:rRNA from 1 species